UGGGGAAUAUUGCACAAUGGGCGAAAGCCUGAUGCAGCGACGCCGCGUGAGGGAUGACGGCCUUCGGGUUGUAAACCUCUUUCAGCAGGGACGAAGCGAGAGUGACGGUACCUGCAGAAGAAGCACCGGCCAACUACGUGCCAGCAGCCGCGGUAAUACGUAGGGUGCAAGCGUUGUCCGGAAUUACUGGGCGUAAAGAGCUCGUAGGCGGUUUGUCGCGUCGUCUGUGAAAACUCGAGGCUCAACCUCGAGCUUGCAGGCGAUACGGGCAGACUUGAGUACUGCAGGGGAGACUGGAAUUCCUGGUGUAGCGGUGAAAUGCGCAGAUAUCAGGAGGAACACCGGUGGCGAAGGCGGGUCUCUGGGCAGUAACUGACGCUGAGGAGCGAAAGCGUGGGUAGCGAACA
rnacentral:rRNA from 1 species